AACGAACGCUGGCGGCGUGCUUAACACAUGCAAGUCGAACGUGAAAGUCUUUCGGGAUGAGUAAAGUGGCGCACGGGUGAGUAAUACAUAAGAACGUACCUACAGAUGGGGAAUAACGUCGGGAAACCGACGCUAAUACCGCAUGACGUCGCAAGACCAAAGGGGGCCUAUCCUUGGAAGCUCUCGUCUGUAGAUCGGCUUAUGUCCCAUUAGCUAGUUGGUAGGGUAAAGCCUACCAAGGCUAUGAUGGGUAGCUGGUCUGAGAGGAUGAUCAGCCACACUGGAACUGAGACACGGUCCAGACUCCUACGGGAGGCAGCAGUGGGGAAUCUUGCACAAUGGGCGAAAGCCUGAUGCAGCAACGCCGACGUGAGUGAAGAAGGUCUUUGGAUUGUAAAGCUCUUUCGGCUAGAAAGAAGGGACCUAUGGCAAAUAACCAUAGGUUCUGACGGUACUAGAAGAAGAAGCACCGGCUAACUCCGUGCCAGCCGCCG
rnacentral:rRNA from 1 species